UUGUGACGGCCUUUACAUAAUUAUAAGAAAUAAUUACCAACCCAACACGAACAAAUGAUAUUUACCUGAACAUUUCCCCUUCUGAACUAUAGAAUUGAUCAAACACAAUCAAGUUAGAUUCAAAUUUCAGUUAUAAUAUACACACAUUAGCAUCUUUAUAAUUAGCUUGGAAAGGACUACUCCACUUAAAAGCAGGUCAUCACCAAACAAAUGAACAUAAUUAAAGCUUCCAAAACCUGCGAAUGCAAAACUGCAAACUUAUGAAGGCUGAGAAAGGUGAUUCCAUAAUUAUAAUUUUCUUAUUCAUUUAAAUAUAUAACUUUACCUAAAUAUAGUCAGACUAUCAGAUCCUGUCCAAUUUGCCUUUUCUCAUUUUUUAUACAUACUACAUGAGUAAGUCUCUCCCAGUUUGCUUGCUUUCUUUUUAGAUGAAGCACCUCGUGGGGGAGAGAGGAGAAGAAUAGAGUAUAAAAGUGGAGCACAAGGAGUCCACCCUAAAAAUAUAAGUAGAUAAAACAAAGAAAACCCUCUGAAAAGUACAAUUUAGAAAGCAUUAAUUUGGAAUUGGGUGAAAAUCACAAGCUCUUACUACAAUGGAAUAUACAAUACAUCUUUUUUAUGUUAUCAACAUUGCUAUAUGUAAAAAAAAAAUAAACGCUUUUGAGUAGUUACAAUACAACAAGCAACAAGGAUCGAAUAUGCAGUUUAGGAGACACCAUCUUGGUCAGUAAAACCCUUUUUGUAAACCACAUGAAUUUAGCAUACACAGGCUCAAGUUGUCAAUGAAACAGUUAGAUUAAGGUAUUCAAUAACAAUAUCACAUAUGCAAUAAGGUUAGAUUCUAGAAGGUAACAACCCAAAUAACAAUAUUUACUCCAUCUUGGUUUACAACAAGCUAUACUAAGUUUAAUUAACCCAAAUGACAAUAUUUACUCCAUCUUGGAUAAGGUUACAACAAACUAUACUAGAAGUUUAAUCAACCCAAAUAACAAUAUUUACUCCAUCUACCAAGAACAAACAAGUGGAGUAAUAAAUUUUAUUCUUCACAUUUUGCCUAUUGCAUGCAUGUUCUCCAUCUCUUGCUUCAUUCCGUUAAUCUUUCGAAGUAAUCCGGAAAUUAUUUGUCUUGAUCUAUCACACAUUGGAGGAUCAUACAAAGCAAAAAACUGACAAGCAUUCCUCUGUAAACAAAGAAGUUUUCAAUUUUAUGUGCAAGUAAAUUGAAUGGAAGAGAUAUAUAAAAAAAUUGAAACCCUAACACACUUACUUUUCCAUAAUUCGGACAUGAUAAAAUCAUUCUUCCUGGGUUUGAAUCGGUCCAUGUUGUUUUAAGUUGAGCUCGCCUCUCACAAUCACAAUGUGCGUUCAUGGCUGCUCAUAUCCUUCCUAAAAUCAUUAUUCCGAGAACUAAAUUCGAGAAAUUAAAUAGUACUAGAAGUCCUAAAUUUCGAAUUGAAGAGACGUGAGCAUGAGAAUCAAUUAAAUAUGAAAAUUAAUUGGGCCGUUAAGGAGAUGUAUCUGUAGUUUAAAAGACAUUCAACCUAACGAAGUUCCUAUGUUUCUCAAUAUAAAGUCCAGUCCAAUUAGAGAUGUGAUAUAAACUAAACUAUAACUACUAUUUAACUCAUCCAAUUUGUUAAAAACAAGUUCGGGAAAAUGUUUUAGCAACCGAUUUUUUUUUUGAGAAUUUAUGAUGCAGUUGUAUCCCUUCAAGUGAUCCCUGCAGGAAUCCUUGGAACCUAUUUUCAUUUGAAUUUAUUUACAUUUUUUAUAAGUUCAUGUCCACAAAUAUAUGUUUUUGGAUCAAGUAAAACAUAGGAUAAAUAAAUUUUCAUUUGAUAUUAUCUACUAAAAUAAUCUUUUAGGAUCAUCAUCCAAAAUACUUGAAUCUUUCUAAAACUACCUGCUCCAACCUCGAAUUCCUAUUUGAUGAGCUCUAUUUUUCCUUGCUUUCUACAUUCAACAUAGCUACUAUUAAUAUUUCUAUUCAAUAGUUAUAAUUUGCAGUAAAUAUUUAAACCCCAAUACAUAUACCAGGUUAUUUCCUCAACCUCCUAACCCCUGUAAAUAUUUGAAAACAAAUAAAUACUUCAUACUCAAAUAAACAUCCAUAAACACACCUUAGAAUGUUAAACCUGCCUUGCAUCACCCACCUCCAGUAAGUAUGCACAUCCUCCACUAAACAAAUUAUAAACUUUACAAAGGAAAAUCCCUAAAACUGAAACUAUUGUCAACUCAAAACAAAGGAAAAUUCUUGAAUUCAAACUAUUGUCAGCUCAAAAUAAAGGAAAAUCUCUAGUACUCAACAAAACUUUCAUGAAUUGAACUGGGUCAAAAUUAUUGAAAACCAAAACAAAAAAAUCCAAAAUUUUAAGCAUAAUUCAACACUAACAAAAUGCAGAAACCCACUUCAAAUUUUCUCAACAGUAGACAAUUCAAGCAUCAAAAAGACCAGACAACAUUAUUAAGAGUAUAUAUUAAUCGAACACUGGAACGAGAAGAAAAAAGAGGGGGGUUUGUUGCUCUGACCCAAUUGGAACGACUAGAUGGCCGGACGAGGUUUGGUGAGCCGUGCAGUGAAUUGAGCGAACGAAAGAAGAAAUAAGGGUCGAAUUUAGGAGAUCUGCACUGCACGGGGUUUGGUGAGCCGAACGAAAUCGACGAGAGUGAAUUGAGCUAAGGUCUCGUGUGUUAUUUUGGAUGUUCAGAGUGCGAGGAGAGAGAAGAAAUAAGGGUUUUGUUUGUUUUGGCUGAUCAGGGUGCGGGAGAGAAAAAAUUUGGGUCUUAUUUAUAGGUGAGUUGGGUGAGUAAGAUAGUGGCUAAUCGGGUAUGAUAUAUAUAUAUAUAUAUAUAUAUAUAUAUAUAUAAGAUGUAAACGCACCGGAUUUGCUAUCCAUGCUCAAUCAAAUUCGAGUUCGAUGAUAUAUAUAUAUAUAUAUAUAUAUAUAUAUAUAUAUAUUAGUAGAAAUCUGAAAAAUCUUACAGUGGGCUGCCAAGGACUUUAGAUAGCUUUUGAUGCCUGAAAACUCGGUUUCUGUGACGUCCCCAAAAUAAGUAUAAAUCACUCAUUCUGAGUCGUCAAAUACAUGGUACAGAACUUAAAUGCAAACUUCAUUUAUACAAUACGACAAAACGUAGCUGAAAGUUUUAACACGGAUAGUCUCGUAUAUUGUCUCGUAGACAAUAUCCAAACUCAAAUGGAGUUUGCAUUAUAAUUAUAAUUACACUACUUCACAGAAUAGUGAGGACUACUAAAUCAACAAUCUGGACCGUCACUCCAUUCCCCGACUAGUCCCAACUAUAUUCUGAUUUCCUAAAGAGAACAAUGAAAGCAAAUGGUGAGCUCAACUAACCCAGUAAAGAAUAUUAUAACUAAAAUAAUGGAGAAUAAAUUAUCGUUAGCCUUCAACAGUAUAACAACUAAUAUAAUACAAUAGACGACAAGUUUUAGAUCAACUGCAGCGGAAAUAACAAUCCAUUAGAAGAGUCAAGUAGAACAUGAUAUCUACUAUCUUCUAUGAUUUAAAAGUUUAUCAUCAAUUUUAUCGCUGAAACUUGGCUCAAUAAAUAAUUCACAUCACUGAAUUAUCCAUGCACUGCGGGCCAAGAAUAUUCAUUAUUAUCACAUCCACAAAUCAUUCAUGCACUACGGGCCAAGGAUAUUCGUUAUUAUCAUCAAUGGUCAUGACCAUGCCAAACAACAAUUCAUUUUUUGCACCCUUGACCGAAGAGAACGCAUGGUCAUGAUCAUACCAACUGUCCAUCAAUGCACUACGGGCCAAUGAGGACUUACCACAUCAUUUGUAACAUUACAGGUCAUGAUUAUACCGAUACAUAAUUCCUGGUCAUAAUCAUACCAAUCAACAGUUCAUCUAUACACUACGGGCCAAAGAUAAUUUUUAUCACAAUAUAAGCAUGAGGAUGAUGACAAUGAUAUAAGCAUCAAUCAAACGAAAUCAAGGAUAAAUAUUAAAGACUUUAAAUUUAUCCAGAGUUUAAAAAUGUCCAAAUUGUCAUCAUGAUAACUGCUUUGUGGAGUAAAAUUCAAGAAUAAUAUUGUAUCAAAAAUAAUUUGGACAGAAAAGAAAUCAAUUUAUGUCAUGAAUAGUACCCCAGUGAAUAGUACCCGAGUGAAUAGUCCUUCGUGAAUAGUACUUCGUGAAUAGUGUCAUACGUAUGAAUAGUAUCCAUGAAUAGUACUCCGGCAUGAAAAGCUUAAAAUUUAACAAUAAUGUUCAGAAAAAUAUCCUUGUGAAACUAUACUAGAUAAAGCGCAAAUUUCAAGUAUAUUCUACUAAUUUCAAGGAGUAUAGAAGCAAUAUUUAACAAAAUGACUGUAGAAUUAGGAAUAUAAAACGAAAUAAUAUUACUUACAUACUACAGAGUAUGGAAGAAAUUAUUUCUUACGAAUAUUGAACAAAAAUAAUAUCACUUACAACUGUUGAACGAAAAUAAUAUUCUUUACGAAUAUUAAACGAAGAUAAUAUUUCUACAAAUAUUGAACGAAAAUAAUAUUCCUUACAAAUAUUAACGAAAAUAAAAUUUCUUACGAAUACGAAAAAUAAUAUCGUAAGCGAAUAUGAAAUAAAUAAUACUUCUUACUACUGUUGAACGAAAAUAAUAUUCCUCGAAUAUUAAACGAAGAUAAUAUUCCUUAGAAACAUUGAACGAAAAAUAAUAUUCUUUACGAAUAUUGAACGAAAAUAAAAUUUCUUACAAAUACGAAAAAUAAUAUCAUAAGCGAAUAUGAAAUAAAUAAUACCCCUUACCUUAAAAAGAAAAGUAUUCCGACUGGUAUAGCGGAGAUAUUCUUGAAAAAAACUUGCAAUGUUUUCUACACUCAAAACUUUCUUAAACUCUAAAGAAAUACGCUCAAUAUUAUAGAAGAAGAAUUCUCUGAUUCUGGUGUGAUUUUCAAUUCUAAACUAAGCAUCCUAUUUAUAGGAGAAUCGCAGGAUACUAUUUGGAUCCACAAUAAGGAAAAAAUCACAGACUGCACAGUAACUUAUUCACGGAUUUCUGACGAAUUUUCUGAUUUUACUAUGCAGCACUAUGCAAACACUAUACAAACACCAUGCAUAAUAAAUUAAAAUAUAUUCUAUUUUUCAUAAAAAAAUAAAACUUAUUAUAAUAUAUAUAUAUAUAAAUAGNNNNNNNNNNNNNNNNNNNNNNNNNNNNNNNNNNNNNNNNNNNNNNNNNNNNNNNNNNNNNNNNNNNNNNNNNNNNNNNNNNNNNNNNNNNNNNNNNNNNAAAUACUUAAUAAAAAUCCUCUCUAUUUAUCUCAAUUCACUUGGCUUCACAAAAUAUAUUUUUAAUAAUAUUUAUCAUUAAUAUUAUAACUCACAAUAUUAACCAGAUCAUUCUCAGAAAAGAGGGGGCUUUCCAAUAAGAACUUCUCCUUAUUGACGCGCAAUUAGGUGACCAAACCCCUUUCCUCGACAGAAUUUUCUAGACCUCGUCAAUAAUGCAAAUAUUAAUAUGAAUAACUUUGUCGUUUCAAUUAUUGAUUUAAUAAUAUAAAAUAUUGUGAUAAUAAUUGAAUCAAUAACGUAAAAUACUAUGCAGCAAUUACUGUGGCAAUAAUUGAGUAUAACUGAAUGACUUCUCACGUAAACAUCAAAUAUCGUGUGCUACUAUGCAACGCGUAUUACUGUAUUUUUAUCACCGGGUAUUUCAACAGUUAACGAUAAAACCUUAGCUUUUAUUUUUAUAAAAAUUUAUUUCUGUCGUUUUCUAACUCCAACAGUAAUUCCGUUGUGAGGUCCACCAAUGAUUGUGUCAUCGUACGAAUAUUCCUUGAUAAAACGAAAAUUCCCCGACCAAACGAAUAUUUUAUAACUUGCUUACUUUGCAAAAUUUGUAAAUAUUACUCACAACUAUAACAUUAUAUCAAAUCCACACCUUAUUAUUCAAAAUAAUAUUUAGAAAAAAUUAAAUCUUUAUUCAUAAAAGUUGGGGUCUUACAGUUUCCACCGGUUAAACUUCAGUAUGUUACAAAACACGAGCUCAGUUUAGAGCACGCUAGUAGGGGUUACAGGCCGAAAUGGACAGAGUUUUCUCUCUUUUUUCCUUUUUUUUCAAAUGAGAUAUAUAUAUAUAUACAUAUAUAUAUAUAUAUAUUUACAUUUCUGUCAAGCCUGGAGUUUACUUCGUGAUCAUUUACCUCUUUUAUAUAUAUAUAUAUAUAUACAUAUAUAUAUAUAUAUAUAUAUAUAUUUACACACAUUUCAAAGUCCUGCCUAAAGUUACUUUGUGGCAGUUAAUCGUCUAUGUGUAUAUACUUAUAUAUAUAUUUACAGCUUUUAUAUAAAUAUCUGCUUUAACUGCUUUCAUAAUAUAAAUAUUUAAUCUUUCAGCCUGCGGGCUAGAUUUGCUUAAAUCUGGCUAUUUCUAACUUUGACUGGUUCAAAAGUGACUAAACUAGAACCGUUGAAGCUAAAAUGGUUUAGAUUUACUCAAAUUUAGUUUUUUCUAGCUUUUGUACAUAUCACUCUUUCAUGUGAGCCUAGGAAUCAUGUGCACAGAUUCAGUCUCUGAAUCUAGAUUCGGUUCUCAAAAUGGACAUUUUUCAACUACAGUCAGCUUGUAAAUUAUCUAAGGUUUCUGGAUAUCCUUAGAUGGCUCUCAUGCCCACAAGGAGUUCGGCACUACUAUGUAUUUAAUUUUCUCGAAGAUGACUCGCAUCUCAAAAAUAAAAGCAAUCAAGCUGAACAUAUAAUAAAAUGAAAGUAUCAAAUGCCUCAAUUAUUAUUGAGCACAAGGGUUUGAAAACAUGUUUUCUAAAACAUCACUACUAUAUCUUGUUAAAAUUAAACUUUUAUACAAAAGUCAAAACCCUUCGUAUAUAAGUGCAAACGAGACAUAGCACUACUUCCAGAUAAUUGCAUAUAGGCUCUACACAUGCAGAUAAAAGUUAAUGAAAAGUGUCGGUAACCGUGUUAUCACGGAAGUCGGGGGGUGCCCAACACCUUCCCUCCGCUUAAUCAAGCCCCCGAACCCUAACCCUAACGAAACUCGGUUUCCAAGACCAGUUAAACAGUAUCAAACCAUUGAGUCUUUGCGCAAACCUUUCAUCGGUUGAGUUAAUGGAACCAUUUAAAAUUACCAACUGACAACUCUAACAGUCAAAUCGUCGACAUAUACAUGUCAAACCUUUUCAAACUUGUUUUUUCAAUCAAAACUCAUCUAAAAUGAGAACACCAAAAGACAACAGAAAGGGACAAAUAAAAAUCCCGACGUCGACAGUAAGAAUCCACACCAAAACAAUCGAUUUGGAUCGCUUUCUAACACAUGGAUAUUAGACUAGCCAAAUAAAAUGGUGUCAACACUCUUCUCAGUACAUUUAGAAUGUUCAAUAUUCGCAACAAGAUUCAAAGAAUCAUUCAAGAAUAUAAUCAUGAUUUAAAUCAGGUUUCAGAGUAAAUAAUAAUAUUCAUGAAUUUAGAUAUCACUGGAAUCAUUCAAACAAAUAAUUACUCGUAUGAUCAAUAAGAGUACAAGUUUAGGUACUUACUCAAUAUAUAUUAGGAAACUUGCAUAAUAUACAGGGUUGUGCAAAUUUGGGAACUUGCCUGAGUAAUUAACUAUUUUCGACCUUGACUUCUUAUCCUUUGAAUAACUUAUGGUUUUCAUAAAGGUUAAUCUCUAUUAACCCACAAAUGUAAGCCUAAUUGGUCUAAUUUACUAGCCUCAUAUACUUGGGGCUUACAAAUUAAUCUACUUUUAUUUAAUUAGUUAUUCAUCACUCUCUUUAUUCCAUUUAUUAGUCUUCACAUUUAUCUCAUUUAUUAGAACUAAAAUAAUAUUUCAUUAUUUUACUUGUUUAAAUAAUGGUUCACAAUUUUAUUUAUUUAUUCAUAACUCAUUGUACAAACAAAGCAUUCUCACUUUAUUUUGUUAACAUUUAAUUACUAUUUAAGUAAUUUUCUUAAUUACUAUUCACUUUAUUAGUCCACAAAUAAGAUAAUCUAAUUAUCACUUUAUUUGUUUAAUCUAUUAUUAGAAAUAUCUUUAUUAUCGUUUUAUGCAAACACAAUAACCUUAAAAUUAUUGUUUAUUCUCCACAAUUAAAAUAAUCUCUAAUAUUACUUUAAUUGUUUACACUUUGCUAACUUACAAUUAUCUUUCAAUUUAAAAUGGUCUUUACAAUUACUUACAAUUAAAAUAACAUUUAUUAUUAUUUUAAUUGUUUACAAUUUAUCAAUUCAUAACGUUAUUGAAGUUGUUUAUACUUCACUAUUAAAAUACUUAUUAUCUUAAUUGUUUAUUAGUCCACAAUUAAAACAAUCAUUAAUAUUAAUUCACAGUUAGAAUAAUUUUAAUUUUCUACUCACAAUUAAAAUAGUCUUUAUUAUUUUAAUUGUUCAAUUAUAGUUAAUGUAAUCAGCAAUGUACAAUUAAAAUAUUAUUUUAAUUGUUUAUUAACAACUCACAUUUAUUAUUAAUCAUUAUUUUAUUUUAUUUUUUUAUUAUCCUUAUUUUAUUUCAUUUUAUUUAAAAAAAUAUGUUCUGAUCCGUUUGACCAUGACCCGACCCGGUUUGACCCGGAUCUGGGUCAACUGCAAAAUUGACCUACCACCUAAGUGCUUAAAUUAGCCUGGGUAGAGCGUCUAGGCGCUCCCUAGCAAAAAACGCCCAAUCUGAUUUUUCAACAUUUUAAUUUUUAUCCCCUUUUGAUUCAAUCUUUCAUAACUUGUUCAUUUUACAUCCAAUUGAGUUCAAACCACUUCUAUUAUUUCAUAAACUCAUAUCUUCAAUAUUUGAUCUCUUAAACAAAUAUCCAAAAUGUUUAUCUAGCCAAACUUAUUGAUUUUCCAAGCUAGGGUUCUCAUUUGACAUGUUUCACUAGAUAUUUCACCAUAAGUUCAUCCUAACUCCGUUUUUGAUGAUUCCACUUGGAUCGGGGUUGUAUUUCAUAAAUCUUCAACAUAAGAUUUUUAGAUCAAACAUAUAACUUAACACAUUUUGUUUCAUUUAACACCAAGUAUCAUGCUUUCAAGUAUUCUAUUCUAGGUUUCAUGCUUACAUGCUUUUUAUUUGAUCAUUUAGACAUGAAGACACUUAUAUGGCAUACAAGUCACAUAUUCUCCUUCCAAUACACAUCCUUAUAUCUUCGGAUCCUCCAUGAUCCCACAAAAUAUAGAACUCCCACAACCAAGCAUUCAUUUGCUAUUAUAAACAACAAUAUACUAACUUACUUGAAAGAUUAGGGUUAGAUUAGGAUCUUACCUUCUUAGUGCUCUUUUUCUCUUAGCUAUGAACUUCAAGUAGCUCUCCAUUUUCUCCUUUUUUAUCUCUUCUUGAAUCACCAAGGUGCACGAGUUCUUCCAAGUUUUUCUAUUUUCUCUUUAUUUCCUCUCUCUAGCUCUCCAACACUUAACAAUUUCAAAUAAGAAAGUAAACUUGGAAGAAGAAAUAGGUGUCUCCCAUUUAUAGAAGGAUUAUUAUCCAAUAACCAAGUCAUUAACUAAGGGUAAAAGGGUGUUUGGUGAAAAGUUUCACCAACUCUUCACUUUAGGUACGCAUAGCCACUAGCCUAUAUCAUCAUUUCUUCCCAUGGCCAAGCUUGUAAGGUUGGGUAAAAAAUUUCAACACUUAGCCAAAUGGGAAGGGUCGUGGUUUGGCCAUGGGGGAUUAUAUAUAUAUAUUGUAUUUUUUUUAUUUGUACUAUGCUAAAUUAUUUACAUACACACACAUAUAUAUAUUUACAUACAUAUACAUAUAUAUAUGCAUCCCACUCAACCCAUUACACAUUGGGAUUGUCCUUCAUUGGGCUACUAAUUAACUCAAUUUGGACCAUGCACCUUUACGCAUUGGGCUCAAUUUCAAUUCUAACCAUCCUAACUACUUGGGUCAUAAUUCCUAACACUUGCAAACAUGUCACAUUAUUCACAUUGGGCUUACAUGCACCCGUUAGUCUAUUACACUAUCCAAUUAUCUCUUAAUUAAUUUAACUUUAAAUAAUUAAUCAAUCUAUUUAAAUCAUCAUGCCACACAAGGCACCAUACUAAAGCUUAAUCAAGCUCAUCAUCAUUACCACCUUUAUCGAUUACCACAUACUUAAUUUCAUUUAAAUUGAAUUACUAAGGUUCAUGACAUAUAUAUAUAUAUAUAGGAUUCCAAUCCAUGACAACCAGUUGCUAGGAGUACUAUUUCAACAACCAUCAUCUUCACCGUUGAUAAAUAUCAUUAAUGGUUGAGAUAUAAAAAAAUAAAAACUCAGCCGCUACAAGUUGUAGCAGCAAUGAUAAAGCUUAUAGCGGCUGGAUAAUUUACUUAAGUGCCCCUUGAAUUCUUUGUCAAACUGUUGGAACAAUCAAUAUAGAUUGUAUGUGCCGCUACAUGUUGUAGCGGCUGAUGAGUUGUCUUCAUUAUUCGGCUAGCCAAUAUCUGAUGUGAAAAUAACCUAGUUUUAAGACAAAUAAUUUUGCAUUUGGAAAUAAGUUUCAAGACAAUUUUUUAAGAGUAAUAUUAGUGUAAUAAGAAAAAUAAUAAUAUUAAUAAUAAAUUUAAUAAUAAUAAUAAUAAUAUUAAUAAAUUUAAUAAUAAUAAUAAUAAAUUUAAUAAUUAAUAAUAAAUAUAAUAAUAAUAAUUUAAUAAUAAUAAAUUUAAUAAGUAUAAUAUUAGAAGUAUUAGUAUUGAUAUUAAAUUUAAUAAGUAUAAUAUUAGAAGUAGUAUUGAUAUUAAAUUUAUUAUUAUUAUAUUUAUUAUUAUUAAAUUAUUAUUAUUUUAUUUAUUAAAUUUAUUAUUAAUAUUAUUAUUUUUCUUAUUACACACUAAUAUUACUCUUAAAAAACUGUCUUGAAACUUAUUACAAAAUGCAAAAUUAUUUUUAUCUUAAAACUAAAAAUAUAUUGGACGCAAAAGAGGGUAUAUUCACAUAUAGCCAAAUAAUGAAGACAACUCAUUAGCCGCUACAACAUGUAGCUGCACAUACAAUCUAUAUCGAUUGUUAUAUUGAUUGUUCCAACAGUUUGACCAAGAAUUCAAGGGGCACUUUAAUAAAUUACUCAGCCGCUACAAGUUUUAUCCCUGCCGCUACAACUUGUAACAUAGUGGUUGGGCUUUUAUUUUUUUAAAUCUUAACCAUUAAUGAUAUUCAUAAACGGUGGAGAUGAUUGUUACUGGAAUAGUACUCCUAACAACUGGUUGCCAUGGAUUGGAACCCAUAUGUACAUUAACAAUUUUUAAACAUUCUCAUUUUCAUUACUAGUUACUAGUAUUAUUUACAAAAUUCUCGAAUAUUACAAAAUUGGUACAUCCAUUUGAACUUAUACCAUUUCAAAUUCGUCGGUAUGUAUGUCGGUAUUUUUUCCUAAAAUCUCACCCUUUUAAGAUAAACUAAUCGAUAUAGCAAAACAAAAAGGGUAUAAAUGUAAUACACAGGAAAAAUUAAUUCCUAAUUUUAUAAUAAAAAUAUGUUUUAUUAAUUAAAACCCUAAAACUUUUUGACAUAAUCUCAAAAAUCAAACUCAAAACUAGCUGCGGCCAAAUAAAUCCAAUUUCUUUCAACCUUUUGUUAUUUUUAGCCAUUUUUUUUAAUAGUUGGAUUCCAUGUUAUUUUAAUUUUUGCCAAUAUCUUAAUCCUUCCUUUCACACUCACCUAUCUGCCAAACAUUGCAAGUAAUUCACUUAUAAGUGAAAGAUUAUCCAGAACAAACACUUUGGAAGAGUUUAUCCAGCUCACAAAAUGUGUAUACAUGGAAACAAACAAACAAACAUGGUUAGACACUUUGCAUAAACAAAACAUUAUAUUAUGAGUAUUAUGUUCUUGAUAAGUAAGAGACUAGCAAAAAAUUUAGUGGCCUAGCAGGUCAAAACAGGAAAUUAAAAAAUACAAACUCACCUUUGGCAAGAACCACCAAAUUAUUUAAACAGAGAAAUCAGGGUCGAACAAUCCCGUAAAGCGAACCAUUCCAUAGAUCUCUGCAACGCAGAUCUAAUUUCUCUAACACAAAUAUAAUGGAGUAAUAAUAUUAGAACUAUAUAAAAUUAGGAGAUCUGAUUAGAGGAUCAUCAAUAUACCUUUAGGCGGGCAGGCAGGAGGCAUAAAUAAAGUGUAUAAUAAAGCUGCAUCAUCUUUUCUCCUCUUCAUAGCCAUCUCAAAGAGGACAGAAAUGUGUAGAAUGUAGAGAGAUGUAUGGGAGCCGCGGUGAG
rnacentral:lncRNA from 1 species